rnacentral:rRNA from 1 species
GGCGGACGGGUGAAGUAAUGCCUAGGAAUCUGCCUGGUAGUGGGGGAUAACGCUCGGAAACGGACGCUAAUACCGCAUACGUCCUACGGGAGAAAGCAGGGGACCUUCGGGCCUUGCGCUAUCAGAUGAGCCUAGGUCGGAUUAGCUAGUUGGUGAGGUAAUGGCUCACCAAGGCGACGAUCCGUAACUGGUCUGAGAGGAUGAUCAGUCACACUGGAACUGAGACACGGUCCAGACUCCUACGGGAGGCAGCAGUGGGGAAUAUUGGACAAUGGGCGAAAGCCUGAUCCAGCCAUGCCGCGUGUGUGAAGAAGGUCUUCGGAUUGUAAAGCACUUUAAGUUGGGAGGAAGGGCGGUUACCUAAUACGUAAUUGUUUUGACGUUACCGACAGAAUAAGCACCGGCUAACUCUGUGCCAGCAGCCGCGGUAAUACAGAGGGUGCAAGCGUUAAUCGGAAUUACUGGGCGUAAAGCGCGCGUAGGUGGUUCGUUAAGUUGGAUGUGAAAUCCCCGGGCUCAACCUGGGAACUGCAUUCAAAACUGACGAGCUAGAGUAUGGUAGAGGGUGGUGGAAUUUCCUGUGUAGCGGUGAAAUGCGUAGAUAUAGGAAGGAACACCAGUGGCGAAGGCGACCACCUGGACUGAUACUGACACUGAGGUGCGAAAGCGUGGGAGCAAACAGGAUUAGAUACCCUGGUAGUCCACGCCGUAAACGAUGUCAACUAGCCG